rnacentral:rRNA from 1 species
AUGACGUCAAGUCCUCAUGGCCUUUAUGGCCAGGGCUACACACGUACUACAAUGGCCGGUACAAAGGGCAGCCACUUAGCGAUAAGGAGCCAAUCCCGUAAAGCCGGUCUCAGUCCGGAUUGGAGUCUGCAACUCGACUCCAUGAAGUUGGAAUCGCUAGUAAUCGCAGAUCAGCACGCUGGCGGUAGAAUUACCGGUUCCCGGCCUU